UUUCCCAUUUUAAACGCAACUGCUGUGGU
rnacentral:sRNA from 1 species